rnacentral:rRNA from 1 species
GAUGAACGCUGGCGGCGUGCCUAAUACAUGCAAGUCGAGCGAACAGACGAGGAGCUUGCUCCUUUGACGUUAGCGGCGGACGGGUGAGUAACACGUGGGUAACCUACCUAUAAGACUGGGAUAACUUCGGGAAACCGGAGCUAAUACCGGAUAAUAUUUCGAACCGCAUGGUUCGAUAGUGAAAGAUGGCUUUGCUAUCACUUAUAGAUGGACCUGCGCCGUAUUAGCUAGUUGGUAAGGUAACGGCUUACCAAGGCAACGAUACGUAGCCGACCUGAGAGGGUGAUCGGCCACACUGGAACUGAGACACGGUCCAGACUCCUACGGGAGGCAGCAGUAGGGAAUCUUCCGCAAUGGGCGAAAGCCUGACGGAGCAACGCCGCGUGAGUGGUGAAGGUCUUCGGAUCGUAAAACUCUGUUAUUAGGGAAGAACAAACGUGUAAGUAACUGUGCACGUCUUGACGGUACCUAAUCAGAAAGCCACGGCUAACUACGUG